rnacentral:lncRNA from 10 species
AGACGUGCACUGCAGCAGCACCGGGACUUGACAGCCCUACGGCUCGAUCAGCUUUCUGUUUUCAUUGCCUUACGAUGCCAUGAGUGGAACUAUUGUCAAAUCAGAGUUCACUCCCCAGCUUUUCAGUCUUUCCCCUAAUUCUUGCUCUAUCAGAGGUCGAGGACAACAGUAUAAUGAUUCAUAGGUUCUACUUCCUGGCAAGUAAUCAUUUUCCCACGGGCCCUUGUGAAUUGAUGAAUAUGAAGACACUAAGAAAGCAGAAAUAGAACUGAGAAGAAUGAAAUAACUGUCUCUACCUUUCUCGAAUUGUCUAAUAUGGAAAGAAUGAAAGACAGCUAAUAAGCAACUCUCUGCAAGAAGACAUAUGGCUUAGAAUCUACUUGGAGAGAGUCAAACACAGAAUCCCUUUGAAUUUAAUGGCCAUUCCAGGUGAUUUGAACAGCCAAAUAAGAAACAGGUCCUCUUCAAUGUACAAUCUGCCAAGUAUGAAGUCUGAAUGACCAUCAUUAUUAUGUAUUUAAUGUGCAUAGAAAAUCUAUCUGCAACCUUCCAGAGUGUACCAGAAGUUUGGAAUGUACAUUAUUAUUGGCUCCAUCUCAAACCACUCAUAAAUCAAAGAAAAUAGCAGUUCCAGAGGAAUCAUCAUAGAGGCUUCUAGGCCCCCAUGCUGUGUGAACCUGGUGAGAAAGGGAAGUCUGCUCUCACUGGACACUGGAACUGUUUGUCUCUGUCUCUGCUGUACUUUCCCUGCCUCUACCUCACUUAGUAAAGAAAUCAUCUUUGCUUGAUAACUAAAACAACCAAUAAGGCUGAGAAAGGGGAAAACCCACAUCUGGAUUUAAAUACAAGGUAUUGGGCCAGCUGCUGGGGAUUAAACUUUGAACAAAACAGAUAGAAUCUAUGUCCUCAUGGGAGUGGCUAAUGGGAGAGUCGGAACAAAAAAAUAGCCAAGGAUAAUCCAGCAAAUGAUUUGGUGAAUGCUAUCAAAGAGAGAAAUACACAUGCUCUGGGAACACCAAACAGAGUCUUGCUCUUGUUGCCCAGGCUGGAGUAUGAUGGUGCGAUCUCAGUUCACUGCAACCCCUGCCUCCCAGGUUCAAGUGAUUCUCCUACCUCAGCCUCC